AAGAUACUAGUAUAGAAGACAAUACAUUGCUUUGUCAAGGCAAAAUCGUGGGUUAGACCCCCACGUAUCUUA
rnacentral:tRNA from 1 species